GACGAACCGAGCGAACGUUAUUCGGAAUCACUGGGCUUAAAGGGCGCGUAGGCGGGCGAUCAAGUCAGGGGUGAAAGCCUCCAGCUCAACUGGAGAAGUGCCUCUGAUACUGGUCAUCUCGAGGGAGGUAGGGGCGUGCGGAACUUCCGGUGGAGCGGUGAAAUGCGUAGAUAUAGGAAGGAACACCGGUGGCGAAAGCGGCGCGCUGGACCUCUUCUGACGCUGAGGCGCGAAAGCCAGGGGAGCGAACGGG
rnacentral:rRNA from 1 species